AGAGGCAUGUAUGUGUUAAGGGAAAGAGGCCCUGGGAGCCAGGAAUGCAGGGCAGAUCAGAGCGAGUCAAACCAGGAAUGGAAGUUCUCACAGUCACUACUGAGCCCAGGGACAGACCAAGGUACUGGGAAUGGAACCUGGGACUUGACACAUGUGAGAUUCCAAUACUUGGUUACUAUUCCUGUGAUUAAAUACGAUGCUGUGGGUGUAGCUCAGUGUGGAACAUUCGCCAACAUGCACAAGGCUCUGGGGUUUGAGAAGAAAGGAAAAAGGGAGCAAGAAAUUCAAGCUGAGAUGUAGGUGAGUUGGUGGUGCUGUUGGCCAGAAGGCUAAGUGCCCUGACUGGAGCUUGCAGAGAGAGGCCUCAACCAAAUCUGUCCUCGCCACUCAUCUGCCUUGUAUCAGCUACAGGCUGACCCCUGUAGUGGGGGAUGCAGUGGAGGAAGAUGGGUCUGGCUGUUAUCAGAAUGUGGUGAAGACGGGGUAGUAGUGUACCCCAAUUGGGUAGAGAAGGACAAACUUAUCAAAACACAAGAAAAACACUGACGUGCUAAGAAGAGAUGCCACUGGAUUUAAAAUGAAGCGUCACAGAAAGUCUUGUGUGCAGGAACAGUGUCAUUAAAGGACUAGCAGAAGAUCUAACUGCAAGCUAGACAGUGGUGAACAGGACUCCAGAGGGAUAACCAAAGGUAAAUGAAACAUUGGCC
ensembl:antisense Gm7568 predicted gene 7568